CAAUGGCCGAAAGGCUGACCCAGCGACGCCGCGUGCGGGAGGACGCCCUUCGGGGUGUAAACCGCUGUCAGAGGGGAAGAAACACCCGGGUGAGAAUACUACCCGGACUUGACGGUACCCUCAAAGGGAAGCGCCGGCUAACUCUGUGCCAGCAGCCGCGGUAAUACAGAGGGCGCGAGCGUUGUUCGGAAUCACUGGGCGUAAAGCGCGCGCAGGCGGGACGACAAGUCUGGAGUGAAAUUCCGGGGCUCAACUCCGGAACUGCUUUGGAAACUGUCGACCUGGGGACCGGUAGAGGCCGGUGGAAUUCCCGGUGUAGCGGUGGAAUGCGUAGAGAUCGGGAAGAACACCCGUGGCGAAGGCGGCCGGCUGGGCCGGAUCCGACGCUGAGGCGCGAAAGCGUGGGGAGCAAACAGGAUUAGAUACCCUGGUAGUCCACGCCGUAAACGAUGGGCACUAGGUGCUGGGGGGAGCGACCCCUUCGGUGCCGCAGCUAACGCGUUAAGUGCCCCGCCUGGGGAGUACGGCCGCAAGGCUG
rnacentral:rRNA from 1 species